GACGAACGCUGGCGGCGUGCUUAACACAUGCAAGUCGAACGGAAAGGCCCCACUUGGCGGGUACACGAGUGGGGAACGGGGGAGGAACACGCGGGGGAUCUGCCCUGCACAUCGGGGUAAGCCUGGGAGAAUGGGUGUAUUACCGGAGAGGUGCAAUGUCUAGUGUGAUGGUUGGAAAGAGUUUUCGGUGUAGGAUGAGCUCGCGGCCUAUCAGCUUGUUGGUGGGGUAAUGGCCUACCAAGGCGGCGACGGGUAGCCGGCCUGAGAGGGUGGACGGCCACAUUGGGACUGAGAUACGGCCCAGACUCCUACGGGAGGCAGCAGUGGGGAAUAUUGCACAAUGGGCGGAAGCCUGAUGCAGCGACGCCGCGUGGGGGAUGACGGCCUUCGGGUUGUAAACUCCUUUCGCUAGGGACGAAGCUUUUUGUGACGGUACCUGGAUAAGAAGCACCGGCUAACUACGUG
rnacentral:rRNA from 1 species